UCCGUUUUACAACGGCAGUCUCGAUAGAGUCCUCGCCAUGACGCGUUAGCAACUAUCGACAAGGGUUGCGCUCGUUAAUGGACUUAACCAAACACUUCACAGCACGAGCUGACGACAGCCAUGCAGCACCUGUGCACGUUGUACUCUUGCGAGCCUCAUUGACGUUUCCGCCAACUAAUCCGUGCAUGUCAAACCCGGGUAAGGUUCUUCGCGUUGCUUCGAAUUAAGCAACAUGCUCCACCGCUUGUGUGAGCCCCCGUCAAUUUCUUUGAGUUUUAGCCUUGCGACCGUACUCCCCAGGCGGCGCACUUAUCAAUUUCUCUACGACCAAUACGGCGUCAGAGCCGCAUCGGUCUAGUGCGCAUCGUUUAGGGCGUGGACUAC
rnacentral:misc_RNA from 1 species